UAGUCCAUGCCGUAAACGAUGCUCACUCGCUGUUUGCUCGCUUGAGAGUAAGUGGCUAAGCGAAGGUGAUAAGUGACCCACCUGGGGAGUACGUUCGCAAGAAUGAAACUCAAAGGAAUUGACGGGGGCCCGCACAAGCGGUGGAGCAUGUGGUUUAAUUCGAUGAUACGCGAGGAACCUUACCAGGGCUUAAAUGUAGAUUGCAUUAGCUAGAGAUAGCUAUUUCUUCGGACUAUCUACAAGGUGCUGCAUGGUUGUCGUCAGCUCGUGCCGUGAGGUGUCAGGUUAAGUCCUAUAACGAGCGCAACCCCUGUUGUUAGUUGCCAGCGAGUCAAGUCGGGAACUCUAACAAGACUGCCGGUGCAAACCGUGAGGAAGGUGGGGAUGACGUCAAAUCAUCACGGCCCUUACGUCCUGGGCUACACACGUGCCACAAUGGUAGGGACAGAGAGCAGCCACUGGGCGACCAGGAGCAAAUCUAUAAACCCUAUCAC
rnacentral:rRNA from 1 species